GUAGGUGAACCUGCGGAAGGAUCAUUACCGAGAAUUGGGUCGUCCGUGCCUCGUGCCCGGCGCCCGACCUCCCAACCCUGUGUCUACCCAACCGACCCAUGUUGCUUCGGCGGACCGGCCCCGUCCACCCUCCUCGCGGGGGGACAGACGGCGGCCGCCGGGACCGUCACACGUCCUGGAGCGCUGUCCGCCGACGGCCCAACCGAAAAUUCUUGUCGUAACCUGUCGUCUAAACGUAUUUUUACUAUGU
rnacentral:misc_RNA from 1 species